AGGGAGAUGCAAGAGGGAAGAGAUAUGGGAACAUGUAUAUGUAUAACUGAUUCACUUUGUUAUAAAGCAGAAACUAACACACCAUUGUAAAGCAGUUAUACUCCAAUAAAGAUGUAAAAAAAAAAUAAAUUUUAAAAAAUUAAAAAAAAAAAGAAAGUCCCUGUGGGUGUCCAGGGGUGGAAUUGCUGAGUCAUGUAUUAGAUUAGAUUAAAUUAGAUUAACCUAAUUGGUUAAUUGCUGGACUAGUUCCUGCUCCCACUGCACACUUCGAGGGUCCUCUCCCUGCUUCCUGCCUCUCCCCUCCCUGGCUCUUGGCUCAUUGAGCCCUUUGCUGUGGGAACCCAGCCUUUUGUUAUUCUGGUUUCCUUUUCUGUGGUUAUUGAUGAGUUUAACAGCAUAUGUUUGCUUGCCUUUCAGAUAUCUCUUGUGUAAAAUGUCAGUGGAUCUUUGGGAUAGGUUAUGUUGUGUUAGGUAAGGAACAGUUUUAUUUUUCUCCUUAGAGUGAGCCAGUUUUCCCAAUACCAUUUACCUUUAAAAAAAAAUCUAUCUUUCCCCUAUUGAUUAGUGAUGCCAAGUUAUCUUAUAUUAAAUUUGCAAAUAUGCAUGAGUCUGCCUAAGUGCUCUGCUGUAUUGCAUUGGUCCAUUGGUCUCUUUUAGGGCUAUUUUUAUUACAAUGGCUUUGUAGUAGGUCUUAACUUCUGGUAGGGUAAAUCCUCCCUCUUUGCUUUCCUUUUUAAAAGAUGACUUACCUAGUCAAGGAUCUUUUUUACUUCUAUGUAAAUUUUAGGGUAAAUGUCUAAGCUCCUGUAAAAAAAAAAUCCGAUUCUUUUAACCUGGCAAUUUCUCGGCCUUUCUUUGUCUUUCAUGACUGAUGUAUUUGAAGAAUACAAACCCACUGUUUUGAGAACCUCCCUCAAUUUGCAUUUGUUGGAUUGUUUCCUCAAGAUUUGAUUUGGAUGUCUCAGUUUUGGCGGGACCCGUGCGUAAGUGCCACUGUGUUCUUCUCAGCGGGUUACACCAGGAGGUACCUGAUGUCAGAGUGUGUCAUCACUGUUGAUGUUUACUUAACCACUGGUAAAGGCAGAGGCAGUGCACUCUACCUUCUCCACUGUAUUUCUCUAGCAUAAAGAUAUCCGUCUUUUCUCUUUGUAAUUACUAAAUAAUCUCUGGGGAGCUACUUUGAGACUGUAAAUAUCUGUUUACCCAACGAUCUUUUACUCAAUGGUGUGAAUAUUCUUGUUUGAAUCAGUUACUCAGUGAUGGUUGCAGAAGGUUUGUUUUCUAACUCUCAUCCCUUCCACAUUUGUCAUCUUUCUACUAUAAAGAAGAGCCUUCCCAUCUCCCCCAGUUUAUUUGUAUGUUGGUUUAAUUUUUAGGAUCACUGUGGACUCAUGCAUUCUUUUUGAUUCAAUAUGUUAUAAUUCAUUAUUGUCAUCAUUUUUUUUUUUUUUUUUUUUUUUUUUUUGCGGUAUGCGGGCCUCUCACUGUUGUGCCCUCUCCCGUUAUGGAGCACAGGCUGCGGACAUGCAGGCUCAGCGGCCAUGGCUCACGGGCCCAGCCGCUCCACGGCUUGUGGGAUCUUCCCGGACCGGGGCACGAACCCGUGUCCCCUGCAUCAGCAGGCAGACUCUCAACCACUGUGCCACCAGGGAAGCCCGGAUUCAUCCACUUUUAAAAAGGGGGAACUGAGACACAUACAGGGAGAACAGCACAUGAAGACAAAGACAGAAAUGAGGGCAAUGCUUCUAUAAGCCAAGGAAUGCCAGAGUUGCUAGCAAACCACCAAAAGCUAGGGGAGAAGUCAUCUCCCUCACAGCCUCAGAGGGCACCAACCUUGCUGACACCUUGAUCUGGGACUUCCAGCCUCCAGAACUGGGAAACAAAACAGUUCUGUUGUUUUAAGCCACCCAGUUUGUGGUACUUUUUACAGCAGCCUUAGGAAACUAAUACACUCACCUUUCUCUGUUCCUUACUUAUGCCUCCUUUCUCCCACAAUGAAAACUCUGGCUCCUAACAAUAUCUCAUUUUCUCAGUCUUAUGAUACACAAAAAUUGUCUCAGAAUUGUUACACUCCUAUCUCUACCAACCACAAAAUUAUUAAGUAAAGUUAAAGAUUCUUUGCAGUUCUUUUUGUGUUUAUACGAAGGGUAUAAAGUCAAAGUACUGCAUUCAAAGCUACUUGGAUUAGUUCUUUUUUUCCCUCCUUUUUCUUAUGCGGUUAUCUUAUCGAUUUGAUAUAUAGUUCAGUUUAUUUGUUUUGGUUUUAUUCAGUUUUAGGGGUGGUGAGCUCCCCAUCCAUACUGAUGGAAUUUUAUUUACUCAACAUAUGACACAUUAACAAAGUUCCAAAAGUUUGUCAAAACUAUGCAAAAAAAGUAUAUUCAGAGAAAUAUCAUUCUCUUUCCUUUCCCUUUCACUCCAUUCCUCCCCACCCCUGUGGGUAAUUAAAUGUGGUUUCAUUCGUUUCUAGUUUACCCUUCUUGUGAUUUGGCAAAAAUAAGCAGAUUUGUAUGUAUUUUCUUAUUUCUCUUUUUACACAAAAGAUAACAUACAAUGUAUCACUCUAUUCUUCUACUUAACAGUAUAUUCUGGGAAUCAUGUUCCGUAAGAACUUUGAGAACUCUUUCUCAUUCCUUUUUUACAGCUGCCUAGUGGUGCAUUUUGUGGAUGUGCCACGUUUAAUUCAUGCUCUCUCUGAUUAUGGGUAUCGAGGCAGUUUCCACUAUUUUGCUGUUACAUAUAAUGUUGCAGUGAAUAACCAUACACAUAAGUAUUUUCAUAAAGUUGGAAAUAAAUCUUCAGGAUAAAUUCCUGGAAACGGGGUUGCUGGGGCAAGGGUUAAAUACACGUCUAGUUUCAUUCGGUAUUGUCACAUCAUCCCCAUAGGGCUUUACCCCUCUGAUUUCCACCAGCAAUGCCAGAGAACGCCAAUUUCUCCACAGCCUCUCCAUGUGGUGUGUUGUCAAGCUUUUGAAUUUUUGCCAACCUGAUGGGUGAAAAUGGCAUUUCAGUAUAGUUACAAUUUGUAUUUCUCUUAUUAUGAGUGAAGUUGAACAUUUUUUUACUAUGUUUAAGGGCCAUUUAUUUCAUUUUUAGUGAAUUGUAUGUCCAUGUUUUUUGCCCAGUUUUCUGUUGGAACUUUGGUCUUUUCCCUCACAUUUUAAAGAGUUCUUUAAAUAUUAAUCAUAUUCGUGUUUUAUCUUUGAUAUAUGUCUCACAAGUACUUUCCUUCAGUAUGUCAUUUUGACUUUGCUUAUAGUGCUUUUUGCCAUGUAAAAGUGUCUUUUCUUUCUUUUUUUAAAAAACUUUCCUUGGAUUUAUCCAUUUAUUAAACUUGGAUUUAUCCAUUUUUUAAUUGAAGUAUAGUCGAUUUACAAUGUUGUGUUAGUUUCUGGUGGAUUUAUCCACUUUUAAAACUGCAUCUGGAUCACGUUUGAAAUGUUAAUGGCUAAACAGUAAUAGCAUCCCUGUUGAAUCCUAAGCAAUCAGAACACUUGCUUCUCUAGAUUUUGCCAAAUGCCAAUCAUACUGGGCUGAGCUAAUCUACCCCUCUUUCUGAAACUAUUAUGGCAAAUAAUUAAAAUAAGACUUCCUCUUAUUUUCUUUAACUUAUUUAUUUGGCUGCGCCGGGUCUUAGUUGCGGCACGCAGGGUCUUCGUUGUGGCGUGUGGAAUCCUUUAGUUGCGGCAUGCAUGUGGGACUAGUUCCCUGACCAGGGAUUGAACCCGGGGCCCCCUGCAUUGGGAAGUGGAGUCUUAACCACUGGACCACCAGAGAAGUCCCAGGACUUCCUCUUACUUCAUCUUGCUGGGCCGCAAAUUGUCCCUUGCUCCGAGUUCAAACUGUAACCACCUUCUAGCUACAGUAAGGGGGGCCUGGGGCAGAGCCAGACGCUAACGGUGGACCAGCUGGUCGAUGUAUUGUCACUGUGAAUUAAGCAGGACACGGCCUUGGGAACCAGAGAAGAGUCCUAGGGUCCAAGGGAGCUGAUUUUACUGGUUAUGACGGGGACCUAUUUCUCUCAUAUGAUUUGAGGCACUUCAGAAGGCUCCUACCUUCCAUAUUUGGUCAUCUCCAAAUACGGGCCUGCCAUUCUGCCUGAAAUUUCACUACGGGUCCCCCCUUUGGGCUAAGACAUUGAAACAGAAGGAUUAUGUGCGUAUACAUACCUGCUAGUCCAGAGGCACAGAGUGGUCGUGAGCUUAUCCGCUGCUUCUUAGUAGAGCUUGGAAAGAAUGGGACAUAGGAAGGUCAUGCUUUGAUAGGAAGACUGAGCCUGGGACCAAGGGUGGCAGAGGGCAUUGAGGUGGGAGGACGUGCCCUCGUGUGACCAUGUAGAGAAGGAUGUGGAGCUGAGGGUGCAGACACGGGGCAGAAGUGUCAGGACAAGGGGUACCAUCUCUGGGAAGGGUCCAUCUCUGCUCCACUUCCUUGCCCAGGUCCCCAAUGCAGGAUGUAGCUUAUUCCCUAGUGACCCUGCCUACUCCCCUCACAUGCAGCCAGAGUGGUCUAGAGCCUUCCAGAGGCUCCCUGUCACCUUCUGAGUCCUAAACAAACUCCUUACCCUGGCAUUCAAGGCCCAUCUCUCCAGGUUCCUGUCCCUCCAACUUUGCCCACAGACCCUAUGAGUCUUCUCUGAACAAAAACAUUGGAAUGUGCAAGGUGACAAGGACAGAGUAUUCAUGACAACUGGGGAACUGUGAUGUAAAACUAGUACGUUGCUCGUAAAUCUGGGUUCAGGUGCAGCCACGGUGGGAACUGUCUCAAACACACUUUCAGACCUCCAGGUCCUCCCUCCGUCUUGGGGGUCCUUUCCCCAUCCCUGGCAUCACCGAGGCCCCGCAUUCUGAAAGGCUCCAGGAUGCCCCUCUGGCAGAAGCUGUCUCUGGUCCCCCGCAGCAAGUGCCCCAGCUGCCUUGCUGAGUUCAAGCUGUCUGAGCUCUUGGCCCCGAGGGAGGGGUGCAGGCGCCACCUUGUGGCCCCAAGCGUUUAUGGCACUGAAAGCUGCCCCUGGACGGGAGAAUUGCUGUGGAUCCGAAAGCUUGAGGGCCCAGGACCGUGGGUGGGAAGACCGCAUGCUCCCAGCCUGCCUGUCCUGACACCCCAACCCCGCUAAGACGGGUCACCGGGGUGCCCCGGGCCUCCUGACAGGGAAGUUGCUUUUAGCGCUUGGAAGGGGAAGCGCUGGUCUCAUUCCUACAGGUCCUUACGUUUCUCCAUCCCCGCCCCCCAGGUCUCACCAGCUCUGAGGCUGCCAAGUGGGGCUGCAGCAGGACGCUGCCUUGUUGGGGUGCCGUGCGGCGUAGGAGCUGAGGAUGAGCUUGGCGUGCAGAGAGGCCCGGGCUGAACAGCCCGCCGUCACAGGCACACCACUUGAUCUCUCGGGGCCUCCAAUUUCCUCUUCGUAAAGAGGGUAAUGAUUUACAGCACGGACGUUCCUGAGCGUUGGUGAUAUGGACGUAGACUCUGGGCACUUAAUAGGUGCUAAAAAUGGCAGCUUGUGAACUUGAGUGGCGGCCGGCACCUUCUCCAGGAACGCACUCCCUGCCCUGUCUGGGGGACGUCUCCCCUCAGUGGCCCCUGGGUGCCCUCAUCGCUACCCUCAAGCCCCUGUUGGGCAUCACUUACUUGCUGGCAUGCCCACCAGCUGGGAGAUGGUGCAUGGCAGGCAGGUGCAAGAUCGUCUGCCACAGUGCCAGACACCUGGUACGUGCUCAGAUGGACACGUGGGUCAGAUGUGACUCCUGAUGUGGGGGCGGUGAGACCAGCGUAAAAUGGACGAGAAGGUCGCCCUCAGGUCUUCUAAGAGAUGGUCAGUGAAUGAAGAAGUUGGGGGGAAAGCACUCCCUGAGUUUCUCUCAGGAGGACUUGAGUGCCAAGAUGCCAACCAGAGCUCUGCCCCACCCAGUCAGAGCAGCGGGGUGCCCACUCCAUCGCGGGAAGGGAGCUAGAGAAGACGGAGCUGCCCCCACGGCGCCCACGGGCUGCGUGAGGUGAGGCCUGGCGGGACGAGCGCGUGGGUCUGCGCUGGCUCCAGGAGAGAGGAGCCUCGAGCUGGGGCUCUUUUCCAGAGCUUUCUGGAAAAGGGGACUGCACUCCCGUCCUGUGCAGAGCCUUCUGAGUCCACAGGAUAGAGGAGAGACCGUGGGGUGGAGGGCGGACACCGGCUGGGCUGCAGGGCUCUCGGGCCUCAGGUCACCGAGCAGGUUGACCUCUGGGGGAGCUGGGCGGGCUGAGCCGGCCGGGCCUCCUAGCAGGAGCACCGAGCUGGGUGAGGCCGCAGCCCCACCUUCUGCAUGGUGCCUUUGCCACGGUGCCCAGACGUUCCCGGGGCCAGGCAGGCUGCGGGGCUGGGGCUCCGGAUGCAUUCUUGGGGCAGCUGGAGAGCCACACUCGGCUGGCCUCCCUGUGGGUGCUGCCUGGCCAUACAGCCCUCUCCGGCCAGCCGCCUGGUCCUGGGAGGAGAUGAGGGCAGAGCUCUAGCAGGCAGCUCAGAUACCCCUGUCCUGAACCCCAAAGGUGCUGGACCGUUCCCAGAACUCUCCACAGAGCAAAGGGGAGGCCUCGGUUAGCCAGGAAGGAAAUCGCCUUCCCUUCCUUCCUCCUGCUUUGAUUCACCUCAACAAAUACUUACCAUCACCUGCUCUGCGCUGGGCCCUGUGCUGCCCCGAGGGCUCCCGUGAUGGCAGAGUGCAGACGGGCGGGCAGGUCCUGCAGUGCAGCCCCCUCCUGGCUUGGUCUGAGCCCACUUUCUCCAGGAAACCUGCCCGUGCACCCGUGCGAGGUCGGUUGGUUUGAGAGCAGGAAGGCACCUCGGGCUGGGGUAGAAUCUCACUGCCGCCUCCCAGGGCCAGGGGGCAUAAGAGACUUCUCUGGGGUCUGGUCUCUCGCCCCUCACUGGCUUCAGUCCUUGGGUCCGAGGCGGGCGGAGGGAGCUGCGAGUCUGGUCAGCACCUUCUCUGAGCUCUCAGGCUGCGUGAUCCCUGUGCCUCCCCGGCUGGCGCCCCAGGGCAUGGCCUGAGCUGCGUCCCUCCUCCUGGGCUAAUCGGGCCUGCCACCCGAAGGCCCAGCUCCCCUCAGACGGUGGCCAGGAUGUGGAUAGCGCUGGUAUGGUUACCCACACGUAAUAGCAGGACAGUAGCAGUGGGCAUUAAUCACGACACAGGCGACAUCUGCCAGGAAUGGGCUGGACCCACAUGAGAUGGAAACUGAGGCUCCGAGUGGCGAAGUGACUUGCGCAUGGCUGCACAGCUGAUGGGGCAGGGCCUGGUGUGCUCACAGGUCUGCCAGCCUUAGGGCUUCCCACACUUUUCUAAGUCAGGGAGUGUGUCAGUUUCCUAGAGCUGCUGUAACGGAGGGCUUGAAACAACAGAAGUUUAUUCCCUCCCAGCUCUGGGGGCCGCAAGCCCGAGAUCAAGAGUACCAGGGCUGUGCUUCCUCUGAGACUUUUCCAGCUUCUGGUGCGGCCGACGCUUGGUGCUCCUUGGCUUGCCCUGUGUCACCUCAGUCUCUGCCUCCGUCACCUCUCCCUCUGUGUCUCCAUCUUCACGUGGCAUCUCCUCUUCCUAGAAGGACAUCAGUCAUACUGGAUUAGGGCCCACCCCCAUGGCCUCACCUGCAAAGACCCUCUCCAAAUAAGGUCACAUUCGCAGGUACGAGGGGUUUUGGACAAGAACAUAUCUCUGGGGGAAAGGGGGACAACUCAACCCACAAUCGAAAAGAAACAGAUCAGGGGCAGAGCCUGAAGCCAUGAGUUCCCGGUUUGAAAUUUCUUUAGAGUCUCAAGUUUCAUCUUAAAAAUUCUUGCAUUUCAUACAUUAUUCUCUAUUUUAAAUUCAUGUUUGUUUUCAUAGGAAAUAUUAUUUCUUCAAAGCUCUGACACUUUGGUGAGGAGGAACAUGUAUAUCCUAUGGCUUCAUGAGCCUCCAGGACAUUUCUAAAUUUCCUCAGGGGAAUUUAUAUCCCAGUUGGAAAAGUAUCAACCAGCAGAAAUUCAUUUAAUUCCCUUAAAAACCCAGAGAGGCAGAUAUAUUUAAACAAAGCGGAAACUGAGGCUCCUAGAGGUUCAUGAUCUGCUAAAAUCACACCGUAAUGGAAUUCGGUUCUUCUGGCUCCUUGAUCGGCUCUUCUGCUGUAAGCGUGUGACCCGGGGGGGCGGGGGGCGGGGGGGAAUAGGCGUGUGCCCUUCCCCACACGCCCACAUGUGCAGGGAGGGAUUUUUGUACCUGUUGUGAAGUUCAGUUACAUGAAUUCUGGAACAUAAACAUAGUUUGCUACAUAAAACCAUAAAUUUUUCAGUAAGAUAGAAAAGAAAAUCUACCCACACCGCAUUCAAACGUUAUAUUCGCAAAUACUCAUGUUAGAAACGCCCUUCAGUGUUUGCUUGUGAGAAGGGGCGGUGUUCUUCAUCAGCUCUGCUGGUUAUUUGGUGGUUAUUUAGGUCGUUAGUGGACUCUGCAUGGAGAGAGUUGUUUCCAGCAGCUGCUGUGAGCGGCUCUGAGUGAAAGUACUCGUGUUAGGUGGGUGCCCACCCGGCUUCACCCAGCCCCGCCCGUUUACCCGGUCGCCCACCCUCCCUCCACGCAGCAGACCUCUGCUGGGUAUCACUGGGUGACACACGCCUCUGCCCGCAAGGAGCUCGUGCGCUGGAGCACAGGGGCCCCUGACACGAGACUUCCUCGUACCCGGGAAGGAGCAAGGGGGAGCCUCGGGGGCUGGGAGAACAGCCCCGUCCGCGUGCCAGGCGGGCCGAGUGUGCAUGUGCGUGUGCACGUGCGUGCGAGUGGGCAGGUGGCAGCCCCAGAGCUGCCCAUCGGCUCGGUCUCACCUGGCAUCCAUGGCCCCGCCCUGAAUCCGCCUCCUUGCCUCCGGGGGUGGGUGAAGCCAGGACACCCGUUGCAGACGUGAGCACCUGCCCAAGCCAGCCCCGGACGCCAGGCUGGGACCCUGACACCCCUGCCCUGCCCAGGCAUUGGGCAGCCUGGUCCUGCCCCCCCCCCCCCCCCCGUUUGCUCCCAGAGGCCGUCGCCCUGGUCUGGGGCUGUGUGAGCAUCUCCUUGUUUUCACCCACAGAUCCCAAGGGUUCUCAGGAGGAUCUGCUAGAGGAAGGAGAUAAUUUAGGCGACACCCAUGCAGGGUGAGUCUGAGGUCUGCUCGGGAGGCUCUCGGGUCUUAGUUCUGCCACCCUGUUGGCUGAGGGAACACCAGCUACUACUUCUGAGUGUCAUGGCGCAGAGCGCCGUGCUGCCUCCCCAGGGCCACUGUUGUAAUCCUCUCUGCAGGGAUUGCUUGUUUCCCUCGCCAGAGAGGUUAGGUGACUUGCCCAGUGUCUUCCAGCCAGGAAGCGGUGGAGCAGUACUGCCUGCCGUACCCUGUGGCGUCUCGGUGUUUCCGGCCCCUUGGUCCUGGCCUGGGGGAGGAUCCCGGGACACAGAGCUGACGUUUCUCAUGGAACCAGCCAGCAAUGCGUGUCAGUGAGAGAAACUGGACGGGCCACAGUGCCCACAUCUCCCAGCUGCCUUGUCUGGGUGCCUGAAACUUCUCCACUUGAGCACCUUUCCUCUGUGUGGAGUUAACCGUGUCAGCAUCCUUGGGGAAGCAACCCACGCCGCCACCAGCACCGGUACAAACAAAACCUGGCGUAGAUGUCCAGGCUGGUCCUGGGUGGGAACGGCAUCCCGGGUCCAGGAUCUCUCUGAGUCCUCAUCUCUAUUGUGAGUCUGAGGUUCCAGGGUAGGAAACUGAGGCCCAGAGGGGCUCCCAGAGUUGCCCAAGGUCACCCCACAAGUAAAGAAUUGAUGUUCAACUCUUGAACGUGCGGUGAUGACAAGGACAUUUGUAAGUGUCUGAAAUUGAUAUGCUCCUGUCACACCAGCACUGAGGCUAAUCUGGGAACAAAUUCUAGUGAGAUGCCACCUGCAGGCUGGUAGCAACUCUUUAUGGCAAGAGGAAUACAGCAGUAAUAAUACUCACUGCCGCCUUCAAGGGCCCUCUCAGCACAGUGGUGAUCCCAAGCGCUUAGCACAUAGAGAUUAUGUUUGAUCUUCAAACAACCCUGCAGACAGGCAUUCUCAUUUCCCAGUUGAGGAUGUGAUGGCGGCAGAGAAGUUAUUGAUCUGACCGAGACCAUCCAUUGGUGUGGGGAGGAUCUGGUCCUGACCCCAGAGCUUUUCAGUUGCACCCACUCGUUUUCUAGAAGUUUCGCUACAUGAUUAGGAACGUCCUUUGCAAACAUGAUUAUUUGCAUCUGCCCUUAUACCAGAUGCUAGGCUGAACCAAGGGAAGAGGUUUUGUCCACACCAGGUGAGCGUGGGGUGCAGGAGGCAGCAGUCGGGUGCCCGGCCGGGAACGGAUGUGGGUCCUCCCGCCUCCCGAUACGGUCCUACCUCUCCCUCAGGCUUGCCGCUCAGCAGGCCAGUCUUUCCACCAAAAACCCCGACGGGGGCUGCGCCAGCCUUUGUGAAUGAGGAGGGAGAGGGGUCGACAGAGUCUCGGGGGCAGAUGGACAAGGAGAGGCCCAGGCAGUGGGCCUCUGGGGUGGAGGGUGGCAGUGAGGAGACGUGCCCUCUGGGUAAGGUGAGUGUACCUCGGGACAGUCUGGGCAAUGCCCGGAGCCUGGGGGGCACUGGGGUCAAAGGCUCCCAGAGGAGCAGGGAAACUGAGGCCCCAAAUGUGUCUUCAAACUUCUGUGGACCCAUCUGCUCAGCAGCCCCUCCUAGAACAGCCGCGUGCGCAAGCACGGUGGCCCCCGGGCUCUGUGAGCCUCUCGCGGGGGAGCUGGGCUGGGGUGAAGGGCAUGGAGCAGGGCGUCCACUGGGGCUUUACAGGAGGCGGCACCAAGCUGCACGCACGGGGGGAGAGCAAAGAGAUGGUCUUGUGGAGAAGAGAAGCCGUAGAAAGAAGAGCUCCAGCACCGAAAGGGGUGGGGAAGGGCUGCAGCACUGGAGCAGGGCUGGCGCACAUCAUCGUGUUGCUGGGCUCCUAGCUGCCGUCAGAAGCAACCCAAGUUUUAAAGAGAGAGCGAACCUCUGAGAAGAGAAGGUGACGUGUGCAAAGAGAUAAGGACGCGGGGUCAGGGACGAUGGCCUCGGCGGCCGCAGCUCCUGAGCCAGUAGGGAGCAGGCGGCCACUCCAGCCCCUCGAGAUCCAAGCCACAGUGACAGGGCCGUGCUACGUCCAGCUCGGAGGGCUCAAAGGGAAGCUUCUAGAUAGAAAACUCUGUUGGAACAGCCACCAAUCAGUCACUGGCCGAGGGCCACCCCAGGGGACUGAGCAAGUGCUGACCAAGUGGCUUCAGGAGCCUGAGGUCGGUGCUCCCAGGAGAGCUGCGGGCGAAGCCACAGGGAGCGCCGGCAGCUGACGCCCAAGAGGGGUGCCCGGAAGGAGUCCCAGGGACCCGGGUGUCUGGGUGGAGCCAGACAGUGUCCAGCGUGGCGAGCGGAGGCGAGGGAGGUCCAAGGGCCGCCCGGAGCUCUGCGGGCGUCCGUCGACUUGCUUCCACUCUGUCUUCAUCCUCUUUCCCUCCCAGCCUGUCUCCAGUGCUGGGCGUCUCAGGCUCAGAUCCUCCAGACACUCUGUCUGCGGCCCCCAGGGAUGGGAGACGAUGGUCUCCUGGCUGCAUGGGGAGUGAUACCCACUGCGGGUCCAGGUCUCUGAAGAAAGACUUUCCAUCACUCCCCUCUCACCAACGCCAGGCCUCCUGUGGUUCAUCGACUUCAAGAGCUUCAAGGGCCUGCGAUUCUGCAAGGCAAACUUGACCCUUACCGCCGCUGACCUGCUCUGCAGGCCCUUAUGUGUAACUUCAGUGCUGCUACGUCCAUUACCUUAGCUCCAUGUGCUUCUGGACAGUCCGUGAACUCUCACUGCUGUUGCCCCUUUGUCUCUGAGCCCCCAUCACGCUAUGGGGCUGGGGGAACCACAGGUGAUAAGCACACGGGCCAAUCUGCCAUUGCACCGGGAGCCAGGCUCUAACUAUUCACCCAUCAGCUUGCCUGGGACAGAUGCCAGCCCCGGGGUCAGAGGCAGGACUGGCGUUGGGGCUUGGAGCCAAGGUUCUGACUCAAGCAGAGACAGGGCUUCAGUAAGAAGUCAGGGUGGAGGGCGGAGGCUCCAGGGGACUGCCAGGCCCGCUUGCGAAGUGGCUGUGCAGGCUGGCCAGGGCAGGGCACACAUAAGCUGGGGCUUUGACUACAGCUGGGUGACCGGGCAGGGCUGGCCUCAGAGGGUCAGGAGGCCCGGAAGUAGAUGGUAAGCAGCAGAGCUCCAAGGGCCCCGGAGCGGAAGGCAGGGCAUCAGAGAAGACAGGAGAGAUGGGCUGGUGAGGCCGGUGGGCAUGGCAGGCAGUGUCCAGGCGCCAGGGCAGGGCAAGUGGCGCCUCCCACUGUGGUCCGGGCUGAGGAUGGGCCCCGCUCUGGACCAGAAGCUCUCUGUCCGUGGCCCCCGGUCAGGAUGGGCCGCAGCACCGUGGCCUGGGGGGGAGGCUAGGCAAGGGCCCUGGGUUAGGGUGGAGAGGCUAGUGGGCCCAGAGUCACAGAAUGGAGAGAAAAUGAGACAGACCCUCCAAGCGCUGGCGAGAGUAUCACUCUGGAGGAAGCCGCCCAGUAGCAAGUGGAUAAAAAACACAUUCCUGGAGGAGCCCAGAGACAAGGGGACUCGGGGGAGGCUCUCAGAGGAGGGCUGACUGAGUCAGAGUGCCAUAAUCCUCAUCUCUGCAGGUGCCACGUGGGGAGGGGCGGCCUGUGGUGAAGGAGUCUUCAGCCAACGCCAUCGUAGGUGGGUCAGGGCGGGGCAGUGCCCAGCAGGCCCCUCCGUCCCAGAAGGGUUGCUGCAGGGCCUGGGCCUCCGAACCCUAAAGGAUUUAUGUACCCACCAGGCCUCUGGAUGUCAGCCUUGCAGGCUCGGAACCGGAUUUGCCAACUCGGCAAGAUGGAUCCAUCUCUGGAGGAAGGGCUCACGUUGACCAAGCUCACGUGACUGAUGGAUAAAAUGUCAAUUUAUCAAUAAUGAAUGUCAUACGGACCAACUUUUUUUUUUGGCUGUGUUGGGUCUUUGUUGCUGCACACAGGCUUUUCUCUAGUUGCGGCGAAGGGGGGCUACUCUUCGUUGUGGUGCGUGGGCUUCUCAAUGCAGUGGCUUCUCUUGUUGUGGAGCAUGGGCUCUAGGCACGCGGGCUUCAGGAGUUGUGGCACAUGGGCUCAGUAGUUGUGGCUCUUGGGCUCUAGAGCAUAGGCUCAGUAGUUGUGGCGCACAGGCUUAGUUGCUCUGUGGCAUGUGGGAUCUUCCCGGACCAGGGCUCGAACCCGUGUCCCUUGCAUUGGCAGGCAGAUUCUUAACCACUGCACCACCAGGGAAGUCCCUUGUUGAAGUGUUGAGGAGAAUUCCUUCUUCUUGCAUUUUAAGUUCUGGAGGCCAGAAGUCCGAGAUCAAGGUGUCAGCAGGGUUGGUUCCCUGUGAGAGGUGUGAGGAAGGACAUGUUCCAGGCCUUUCUCCUUGGCUGGUAGAUGCCACCUUCGUGCUCACAUGGUGUUCUCACUAUAUGCAGGCCUGUAUCCGAAUUUACCCUUUUUAUAAGAACACCAACCGUAUUGGGUUAGGAGCUCACCCUGCUCCAAUAUGACCUCAUCUUAGCUAAUUACAUCUGCCAGGACCCCACUUCUAACUAAGAUUGUUUUCCGAGGUCCUGGGGAUUAGGACGUCAACAUAUGAAUUUUAAGGAAACACAAUUCAAACCAUAACAGAGACUGAAUUCAAAGGAGCGUAGAAAACCAGGUCUGGGCAUAGCCAACAGCCAUGGCCGUUCUAGAGGCUUCCGAGCAGGAAUUAAAAGAUCUGAUUUAGAGCCCGCACAGUUGGGCCAAGCAGCUAGCUGCCCCUUAGCCUCUCGAGAGGACUGGCUCACCAUGCCCAGGUGCUGUGUCUCUCUCUUCAGAAUUCGAAUCCCAGCAGGGAGCAGCUGGCUGGUCUAGUUGAGCCAAGAGCCUGACCCCUUAGCCUGCAAGGGGGCGGCAGGAGACAGUGGGGAGCUGAGGACAGGGCCCUCCGCGGUGGGCCCUCCAGACCGUGUCCCACGUGGAGGAGUCACUCCCGCGUGUACUGGGGGAGCGGCAGGGAAGAGGGAAGGGGCCUUCCAGCCCUGCCUCUUUUAAGUGGCUUUCACACCUCUGCUGUGAUCUGUGUGCAUUGAUGUCACGGCCUAAUUCUCAGAGAAGGUUCACAGAUGCGGACUCUGAAGCUCAGAGGUCUGGCCAGGAGCCUGGAGACCCAGGUGCCCCUGACUCCACCGGGGAGCCCUGGGCCAGCCCUCUUUCAUGGGGAGCAUUUGGGCCAGGUGAGCUCUAAACACCUUACAGCCCAAAUGUCUGCACAGGUAGUGUGUGUGGAGCAGUUUCUACAGCCCCUGCGUCCUCUCUUCCUCAUCUCCUCCUAAGAAACUGAGGCAGCAGCCUCCCAGCAUCGGGGAGGGAGCUGGGGCCAUAUUUCCAGGAGGGCUGGCCAGGGGAACGUGCCAGGCUAUUUUUGCCAAAAUCUCGGCUUCUGUACACUGGUGCCGAAUAGAAAUAUGAAGACGGAAUUUAGGAGGAAAGAGAAAGUGUAACUUUACUCUUUGCCAGGCAAAGAGGGAACCCUGCAGCCUAGCGCCUCCGAAGACUGUGCCCCCCACCCUUCCAGAGGGUAGUGAGACGUUUUAUAGCAAUAGUUCAAAGAGGGCGUGAUCAGUUCAUGGACAUUCUUCUGAUUGGUUGGUGGGGAGGUAAGUGGGAGUCGGCAUCAUCAACCUUCUGGUUCCAACCGGUCUGGGGUCCACGUGCUUGUGGGCAGCAUAACUUCUCCCACCUGGAGGGUGUUUCAGCAUCUGCAAAACAGCUCAGAGAUAUUGUUUCGUGUAUCCAUUGAUGGGGCACCAGCACUUUGCCCCAAGGCCGAACUAUUGUUCUCUUGACUUUGUUUCUCCCUUGUCUUGCAUUCCCUCCCUUCCCUAAUUAACAACUGCUUGACUCUGCCCCUUGGAACUCAGGGAAGGUCAUGGAGGCUGAAUGAAGCCUGUUUCCUGUAAUCAGAGAAAUGGGGGACACAGACAUCAUGCCCAGGAGCCCCACAGGGCCCUGCUCGGUAUCAUUAUCUGUUGGGACUUCCCUGCAGGGCCCGAGAGGAGCCAGUGGGCGUCCCUCCUGAGUACACGGACCUUCCACCCGCUGGCUCAGGCCAGGCCUCCCGGCAAGGUCAGCAUCCCGUGCGGCCCGGACCCCCAUGCGGUCACUGAUGGGAGGCCUCGGCCAAACUCUUCUGAGUGGCGAGCUACCAACAUGCAGAUGGCGUUGGGGAGUGAGAGAUGAUCUUGCAGCGGAGGUGGGGUAGAGACCGCCGCCCCCCAGCCCUGGGUGCGUUCCCGCCUCUGCCCGGAGGGGCCUCGGCUGGCAGCCAGCUUGCCACCUCUGGGUGCAGCCACAAGCUUGAAGCCCGGUGUCUGAACGGCCACAGGGACUGGGAUGUCUUUGAGGAAUCACAGAGAGAAGGAUGUCCAAGCUACAGGAGCCUUCAGCUAGGAAAUAAGCCUCCGAGAAAGGCGGUACUUGGACAACUGGACAAACCAGACACUGAGCUGGUUCCUGACCUUCAAACUUCUGCUCUCUGAGAGUUCCUCAAACUGGGGUCCCCUGGGUCUGCUUGGGAGUCUAGGAAUUCUUUACAAAGAAGACUUUUAAUUGGGUGUUUGUAACCUAAGAAAAAUCUAAAAUGAAUACGAUUUGCAUAUCCUGGCUCAUCCUGACAAACCUCUAAGUGGGGGACAGCCAUGCGCUGUCUGGGGCCCAGAUCACGUGGGGGCUCUUUGAACUACUGCAGGCUGGUGAGAGAAGGACCCAGAGAAGCUGGAUGAUGUCAUGGCCCCCGGCUGGGGAGGGCGGGCAGCAGGGAGGGAAAGGCGGUCAGCCCCAAAGAGGAGCCAGGCCUACGGCUCUGCAGGUCUGAGGUCUGCGGUUCCCGCCAGCCUCCGGCAGCUCCAGGGCGUGCAGCUCCUCUGACACAGCCCCGUGAUUCAUGCCUUAUCUUGGCUCAGUAACUGGAGCCAAGCCAGAGGCAGAAUUUUCUAGGCUGUGUGGCAACAAGAUCAGCCAUCCUGAGAGAACUGGGUGUGCCAAGGUUGGGGGGCGGGGCUUGCAGCAGAAGUUGGGAGGCUCUGAGUGAUCCCCAGGGCAGCAGGGACUGUGCAAGAGCCAUAAAGAAGAAACCGGCCCCAGACACACGCAGAGCCCCUCCUUCCAGGCACGUAAAUUGCAUGCCUCCGUUGGGUGCUGCCCGCCUCCUACCCCUUACCCACUACCUAACACGGAUCUUCACUCACUGCCCUGAGGACAGCCUUGCAGGGAGGGACAGAGCCAGGCUGACACCAGGAAGCCCACAGGUGGAUAGGCAGGUGUCCGCCCACGGGUGGAUAGGCAGGUGUCCGCCCACGGCCGGUCAAGUUUCUGCGAUAUUGGUCAUGGAUUCUGUUUGGGCCUCUGAGAAGCUGCGCUUUGCCCUGCCCUGGAGGUGUUGACAGAGUGGCCUGGAAACCUGGGUCAGCAACGGGCAAAUCCCGACAAGUGGCCCCAGUGCCAGGAGAGACUUAAGAAAGCAUGAGCUCAGCUGGGGACCGAGAACCCACUGUCAUGACACAUCUCGUUUCCGGGCCCGCCCAGAAACCCUUUCUCUGGAGGCAGCGUGGCGUAAGGGAAGGGCCGGAGCUUGGAAGGCUCGCUGUGGGUUGUCACAGAGCCCUCGGUUCCCUGGGGUUUGGGCUGGAGCAUCUCGGGGUCCCCCUGGCUGACUCUCUGGCCAGGGACUUCCUUGGAAGCUGGCUGACUCGCGCUGUAGCCAGCCCGGGACGAAGGAGUAAAACCCUGACAGUUAGUAGAAUCCUUACCGCCCACCCACCCCCCGCCCUGUCCCCAGGACAGCCUAGACCAGGGCCAUUGGUGCCCUAGGGCCACCACCAGUGGGAAAUCCCAAAAGGACAGGGAGCUUCAAAAGGGGGACAGGCUCGCAACUGACUUCAUUUGGAGCCAGGCUCCAAGAGGCUUAAGAAGGCUUUAGGGUUCUGCUGGCAGUGGGUAUGAAAAUCCCUUUGCUACAAAUGCUCUGAAGCAAGUCAUGAAUUUCUCUCAUCCAUCUGUCCAUCCCCACCUGCUCGUCUGGCCCAGCUGAUGUCCGGCGAGCAUCCUAGCACAGACGUGGCUGCGGCAGCUCCGGGGCUGGAAAAGGAGUGGUCCUGCCAGUCCAGCCACUUCAGCCAGCCCCAGGCAGCACCACAGACUCAGACCUUGAGAUACCGUCCACCAGGGAUGGAGCAGGAGGCCUGAUGAGGACACAACGUACAGCAAGGGGGACACGAUUCUGCCUCAGCACAGCCUGGACCUCCGCCCUGAGAGCAGGGAAGGGCCAGGCUGAGGGAAGUAUAGCCUUACACCGAGGAUCCCAAGUCCCUAGGUAGGAGAAACGCGCAAAAGCUGAGAUGAGGAAACCAAGACGUAGAGGGAAAAAAGUGCCUGGCCCAGAGUCACUCAGAGUCAAGGUUGACCCAGGAACCUGGAAGGGGAGGGAGGAGAGGAAAGAAGGAGGGGAAAGAGAAGGGGAAGGAAGAGAAAAGGGGGGCUCUGGAGCUGAGACUGGAAUUAGCAGGGGAACUGCAGAGAUGUCCUAAGCCCCAAGCCGGCUCACCUGGCCUUCUCUUGUCCAGAGGUCCAGUCGCUGGGCGUUCAGGGACCCACACAGCCCCACCUUCUCCCAGUGGCUAGGCCUGUGUUCCCGCUGCUGUGUGCGCCUGCCCUCUGGUGGCAAGAUCUGCAAGUGCAUCACCACUGUAGGAUGCAAGUCCAUUCAGCACCUACUGUGCCCCAGGCGCAGAGCUGGUAGUCAGAGAAAAAGGAUAAUGGCCCCAGUUCUGAGAGCGCAUGGAUUAGGGUGGAAGACAGAGGAGAAAACAGGCCAUGAUAAUACAACGAGGAAGGGACUUACACUGGGGAAGUUUGGGGUGUUACAAAAUAGGGCUGGUUUAAAACAGGACAGCCUCAAAUCUGAGAGUAGGAGCCUUUCCCAGAAGGAGGCACCGCCAGGUCCGGGAAGAUUUUGCCAGCCACCACUCCGGAGGCCCUAGGCUUCCCAGGAGGGGUGGGAGGGCGCCAGGGGUACUCUCCAGUACUGGUCUGUCUGCGGCCAGAGCCCCAGAGCCAGAAGGGACGCCUGGAAGAGGUUUGUGACCAUGUCUGCAGACGAGCCUUGGGGCUGUGGCGUGAGGGGUGGAGAGGAUCCCAGCCCUUCUCCCUGUCUGAGCCCAGCCUCACACUAGAGAGGCCUCGGGGUCAGUUAGUUAAGUACCUGGGCUUCGGAGCCAGACUGUCUGGGGCCUCACGGCACCAUGUGACCUUGUGCAAUCCCUCUCUCCGAACUUCAGUUUCCCCAUCCGUAAGAUGGUAGUAAGAAGGCGAGUGCCCACCUCAGAGGGUGGCCAUGGGAGUAAAGCACAUGGAACGGCAUGUGGCACGUGGUAAGUGCUGUUUACACCGGUCCUUCUUUCUUUUAAAAGUGUCCCCUCUCGGGACUUCCCUGGCAGUCCAGUGGUUAAGACCCCACCUUCCAAUGCAGGGGGUGCGGGUUCGAUCCCUGGUCAGGGAACUAAGAUCCCACAUGCUGCGCGGUGCGGCCAGAAGUUUUAAAAAUAAAUAACUAAUAAAAGUGUCCCCUCCCUCGCUCUGAUGCCAGACAGUGCCCAUGGGGCAGAGACCCCAAAAGAGGUGUCCUGCCCGAGGACGCUGGCUCUGCUGAGCCUGGAACCAAGAGCCGGGCACAGGCCUGGGUGCUGCAGAGACUGUGCCCUGAUUCCAAGCGACCUCAUGUGAUUCCCCGAGGCCCGGAACUGCUCUCCUCUGGGCGGGCUGCUCUGGAUUCUCCCACGGGCCCUGUGGGCAGCUGCAGGCUUAUUUCUGAGCUGCAUCGUCCAGUUUGCACGAAAGCAUUGGCUACAAGCCACACAUCUAUUGAACCUGUCUUUCUGGGGGCGAGCUCUCAAGCCUCACCACUCAAAGCGUGGUGUCAUGCUAACCAGCAACAUCGGCGUCGCGUGGGAGCUGGUUGGAAGUGCAGACCCUCAGGCCCCGCUCCUGACCUACAGAAUCCGAACCUGCAUUUUAACCAGAGCCCAGGUGACUCACGUGCCCAUUACACCUCGAGGAGUGAGAGUGUCUUAAGCAACGGGGCUAGGGGGGCAAAGGCAUUGCAGGGUGAUGCACGUGCCCACUGGGCCUUCCCUGGGCAGCACCCCUGCCAGGGGCCAGAAAUUCCAGGGAUGUUGGCCAGGUUCGGAGCGUCCUGGCCUCCACACAGCCCGGGCAGCGCUGACCAGCAAGUGCUGAGAGGGACAGAGGCACACAGGCCCCUCUGAGCCCAAGUCUGCCCAGGGGGAGUCAGGAAUCUGAGCUGAGACUUGAGGGGAAAAUUGCAGUUGGCCAGGCAGACGAGUGGCAGAGGGCGUUCCAGGAAAGGGGACAACCUGUACCGAUUCCAGGGCUGGCGUUUUCAGAGGAGAGGACUUCGCAGACCUCAUCCUAACACCGUCAAGCCCUGGGGCAAUCGGAGGCCCACAUCCUCUGUGGCUAAAUAUUUUAAAGCUAUAAAUCAAGCUCAUAAACUAUUAAAUAAAGUAUGUUCCGGCCUCUUACCUUGACAAAUAUGCCUUCACGAGGGCCUGCAAGGCCAGGUUCAAAUUUAGAAUUUUGGGCCUCCUUGGAGUUAGACACCAAAACGUGAUGGUGCGGGGGAGCCAGCUUUGCCCGCCCCUUCUGAUCCCACCCACCCUGCACCACGAGGACACAUGCAUACGGGCACACGCGUGCAAUCGGCCCAGGCUGCCCAUCCUCACACCCCUUGCCCCACAAACAGCUGCCUCGGGUGGCCUCCAGGAGGACAGACCCCAGGAGCAAGCCCUCGGAGUUCCUGGAAUUGGAGGAGGGUAACCCUGGGAGGGCGUCUCCUUGACCCCAUCGGGGGCACGCCAGCUGGAGAGGCUCUGUGACAACGAAACUAUGAUACCCUCUAUAAGAUACACUCUAAUUUCAGGGAUGUUAAAAUGUCAACAAAAUGUGCAUUUUUUUAAAUUUAAUUUUUUAUUGAAGAGUAAUUGAUUUACAACGUUGUGUUAGUUUCUGGUGUACAGCAAAGUGAUUCAGUUAUGUGUAUAUAACUGAUAUAUAUAUAUUUUUUUCAUAUUCUUUUCCAUUAUGGUUUAUUACAGGAUACUGAAUAUAGUUCCCUGUGCUAUACAGUAGGACCAUGUUGUAUAUCUAUUUUAUAUAUAGCAGUUUGUAUUUGCUAAUCCCAAACUCCUAAUUUAUCCCUCCCCCACUCCCUUUCCUCUCUGGUAACCAUGAGUUUGUUUUCUAUGUAAGUCUGUUUCUGUUUCGUAAAUAUAUUCAUUUGUGUCAUAUUUUAAAUUUCACAUAUAAGUGAUAUCGUAUGGUAUUUGUCUUUUUCUGACAUACCUCACUUAGUAUGAUAAUCUCUAAAUCCAUCCAUAUUGCUGCAAAUGGCGUUAUUUCAUUCUUUUUUGUGGCUGAGUAAUAUUCCAUUGUAUCUAUGUGCCACGUCUUCUUUACCCAUUCAUCUGUCAAUGGACAUUUAGGUUGCUUCCAUGUCUUGGCUAUUGUGGAUAGUGCUGCUAUGAACAUUGGGUGCAUGUAUCUUUUUUUUUUCCUAAUAGAUUUUACUUAUUUAUUUAUUUAUUGGCUGCGUUGGGUCUUCAUUGCUGCACGUGGGCUUUCUCUAGUUGCGGUGAGCGGGGGGCUACUCUUUGUUGUGGUGCGAGGGCUUCUCAUUGCGGUGGCUUCUCGUUGCGGAGCACAGGCUGUAGGUGUGCGGGCUUCAGUACUUGUGGCACGUGGGCUUCAGUAGUUGUGGCUCUUGGGCUCUAGAGCGCAGGCUCAGUAGUUGUGGUGCACAGGCUUAGUUGCUCUGCGGCAUGUGGGAUCUUCCUGGACCAGGGAUCAAACCCGUGUCCCCUGCAUUGGCAGAUCCUUAACCACUGCGCCACCAGGCAAGCCCCGUAUCCUUCUGAAUUAUAGUUUUCUCUGGAUACAUGCCCAGGAGUGGGAUUGCUGGACCAUAUGGCAACUCUAUUUUUAGUUUUCUUGAGGAACCUCCAUACUGUUUUCCAUAAUGGCUGCACCAACUUACAUUCCCACCACCAACAACAAAAAAAAUUGUGCAUCUUACAUUGGAUGUCCAGCAGCCUUCUGAUUCCCUGGCUGUAAGAGUGUUUUUAAGCCUAGUGUUGCACUGAAUCUAUAGGUCAAUUCACAUAGUAUUAGCAAUAUUGACAAUUUUAAACCUUAAUGAUGUUAAAUCUUCUGAUCCACAAACAAGGGAUAUCUUUCCAUUUAUUUAGGGCUUUAAUUUCUUCAAACGGUGUUUUGUAGUUUUCUGUGUAAAAGCCUUGCACUUCUUUGCAAAGCCUUUUCACAGUUAUUCCCUCUUCAGAGCCUUGAAAACCCUCUGUGAAGUAGAGAUCACACUCUGUACAUCAAAGAUGCCUCAACUAGUAAGUGACAGAGCUGGGAUUUAAAUCCCUGGCCCACCAGCAGAGCUGGGCCUAGACUUGCUCUGCUGGGGGCCGCUCAUUCCAGCCCCUAACUGCAUAGGGACCGAACAUCUCUCCUCUGUCUGGGAAACCUGCUGACCUGGUGACAGUCCCUCUGACUUGGAGGGGGGGUUGGAGGGAGGGACAGGGGCAGGACUGGCAUGAGAUGCUCAGGGUCAGGGAAGGAGGGUCCAGGGGAGGGUCCCACACACAGGCUACAGGCAGGGAGGGAACCUGUUUGGUUGAAACAGUGUCCCCAGCCCUUGGCUUCCAUGAAAACCACCUGGGCACUUAAAAAGUUCCCAGCGUCCAGGCUCCACUUCAGACCAAUUAAAGCCGAACCCUGGGAGCAGGGUCAGGGAAUCCGUGAUCUUAAAGUAACUCAGGUGAGGCUGCAGCUCGGGCGGGGGAACCGCCGGGUCAGGUGGUGAAGUUGGCCGUCAGUCCUGACCCAUCAGCUCUGCCCCAGCACACACUGAGGCCAGCAGAAGAGUCCAGACUUUAGAUCAGACAGACCAGGCUACAGUCCCGGGUGUGGAUCUCGGUUCCAUGUCACAAGUUCUGUGACCCUGGGUGCUUGACCUCUCUGACCCUCAGUUGAUGAAUCUGUGAAAUGGAGACAGGUAUACCUACCUUGAGAGACGGGAUCUGUUUCUCCUCUUCUUGAGCCUGGACUGGCCUGUGACUGCUCUGACCAGCAGGGUACAGCAGAAGGGACGCUGCACCAGCUCGGGGUCUAGACUCAAGAGGAUUGGCAGCUCCCCCCUCCAUGUCUUGGGCCUCUUACCUGACUUUUCAGGUGAGGAGAACAUAAGGCUGAGAGGUGACUUGCCCAAGUAAAACUAUCAAGUGCUCACUGCUUUCCUGGCUCUGAGGGAGGAAAAGGCAACAUCUGGGGCAGCAGAUUUGACCAGACUUUUGGAGUUUUGAGUCCUGGCUCUGCCACUCCCCAGCUGUGUGACCUUGGGCUGCUAGAUAACCCUCUCUGUGCCUAUGCCACUGCUUUUGUAAAAUGAUGAUAAAUGGUUGCACCUCAGGGCUGUUGCAGGGGUGAACUGAGAGUACCCUGUCUUGACACAGCGGCUAACAGCUACUGUUAGCAGGGAGGCUCUGCCAGCUCUGGCCUGGAGGUCAUUAGGGGCCUGGCCACAGCUGUGCUGAUCUGGUGGCUUAUUUUUGAGGAAGAAGCAGGACCCAGCACGGAAGCGCCUGGGAAAACCCCCUAUUUCCCACUGGUCCCCUCUUCUCCCCUCUGGAGACAGCAGAGCCAUCCAGGGGGUGUCAGGGUGGGGCAGGAUUUCCCCUCUUGUGACAGACCCCCACUUCCUCAGCUUGCGUAUCACGGCCAAGGUUCAAGUGUCAGGUGGGGCUGGGGAGGCAGCAUAAGUUUUGCCCUCCUCCUGAAGCCAAGGGCCCGUGACCCCACCUUUUCCUAGGGGUAAGCCAGAUGCCAGGUGGGCCUCCUGGUCCCUGGAUGCACAGGUCACCUCCUCUGGGCGCUCCUGGUUCUGAGGCCUGUGGAGGCACAUGGUCCUGCCCAGGUGUGCCCGGUUCCCAAGCGCCUCGGGGUUCCUGUUCCUCACGCGAAAACCUCAGACCUUCUCUGUGCUUCUCCCUGGUGAGCGCGUCUCCCCGAGCAGCACAGACCACCCCUGCGUGGAGUCCGUCUUCUCACUGUAGUGCAUCGGUCACAUCUCAGAUGACAGUGGACAGAGUCUGGGGCCAAAAAGGGCCUCAGAGAUGAUCUGAUCCAGCCCUUGAUCAGAAAAUCACUUUUAUUGUAGUCAAAUAUAACCGUGAUUUACCAUUUUAACCAUGUGUAAGUGUACUGUUCAGUGGUGACUGAUUUUUAUAGCUGAGGAAACAUUCAUUCAAAUGAAAUUCUCAGCAGAAGCCUGAUAUAAAACUGUCCACGUUUUGUGGCCCGUGAAGGGCUGGGCCUCCACAGCCCCUGCAGGAGCUGGGAGGGAGCAAAGUGCAGGGCACGGAGGACAGAGGCGGCCCUGGCCGUCGUUCCCGCCACCGCCCCUGCUCUCCAUCAGGCAUUUGGCCCCCUUGUCCUUGCCCUCCAGGCCUGGUCUGACCCGUGAACACCCCGUCCACUCGGGGACUCGUGGCCUGCUCCCCAGUGCCCACUGGGACCUCCAGCCACAGGUCAAGGCACUGUGGACAGUGGCUUAUGGCAGGUCUGGGUGAUGGACGAGGGGAUGCUGGGCCUGAGCCUACCAGAUAGGGACCAGGGCGGCGAGAUGCUGUCUAAAGCACUAAGGGUGCCCAUUCAGUGCCAGGAAGGACCCGCUGGCUGGCAGAGCCGCCCACAGAGGCACAGUUCUGAGAUGACUGGGCAACCGUGGAGCUGUGAGCUCAAGACACAGGCCCAUGGAGGAAGGAGCCUGGCCAUGGGCCAGCCCCCAGGAGCCCCGUCAGGCGCGCUUGGACUGGAAGGGACACAUUGGCUCCGUCCGUGAGGUGUUGGCACGCUGCCCGUCUGGAUGCAUUUCUUCUGAGUGAAAAGCGGGUCACGAGUGAACCCCUUGGAUGAGGGCUUGCGGUCCUCUGCCCCCGCCCAGCGGCGGGAGGCACAGCGUGAACAAGGAGGGCCCUUCGGGGACGGAGGGAGGGAGGGAGGAGAGAGGAGGACCCUGUGUCCCUGGUGGGCAGGAGGGCAUCCAGCUGCAGAAGGAGGCUUUGAGUCAGGAGAUGUGAUGAUUUUGUCCUCCACAUAGAGGGCCCACCACGCUCCCCUCCUUCCAAAGGCUUGAAGGAGGAGAACAAGGAAUAUAGGAGACGUUCUGUGAAGAAAAGCAGAUGAACAAAGCACUUACAGUUCAGAUGAGAAGCCUCCAACGUGAGUGAGCACAUCUGCAGCCUGAAAUCCCACAGCUGGACGGUGAGGUGCCGGAGCUGCCACCGAGACCUCACAUCCUGCCUGCACCUCACCCAGAGCCAGUGCUGGACCUUCGCAGAAAGGCCGCGGAGGGGGGAAUUUACUGCGCGGAGGCAGAGAAGAAGCUCCCCGACGUGCGUGGAAACAUCAGCCUCACAGUCACUGGAGUGACCUCCUGCAGGAGGAGACGGGAGAGGGGACAGGAGAGAACAACCUCCUUCCCUGCAACAGAAACGUCUUAUCUCUUCUGAGAAGGAAGCUAGAGAAAAGUGGGCGCCAGCUCUUCCCACUGAGGGGAAGCCCAGCUAGUGAGAAGCGGGGGGGACACGGACACCAGUCGUGGAGCAGAGGCCCGGGGCCGUGGGUCAGCAGGUCCCCGGGGCAGGAGGCCGCUGAGCCUCCAGGACUGAGGGACCCGGCUCACUUGCAGGGGUGAUGCCACAUUCGCAGCAGCAGCCCCGUGGGCCCAGAGACCUUUACCCGUUUUCUCUCCUAAAAGCAAUUUUGAUCAAUAGUUUUUAGUUUAAUUGAUACCGCACCUGCUCUUAUUGAAGUUUAAUAAAAUUGUGUUUCCUAAGACAGUGUUCUUCAAAGAUGGAUGAUUUUGAUAUAAUCAUUACGAAUACAUUAUUUCCACUUCAUUGGACCCUCUAGAGCUAGAUGGGAUAAGUAUUGCAUUUUGAUUGAAACACAAGGUCCACUAUUACUUAACCUGUAAUUGACUUGGACACGCCGAGAUGGAGACGCGUGAAAAAUAAAUCCAUUUCUAUAUUCUGGGGAAAAAACCGAUGAGAGUGGGCUCCUGCCCAGGGUGUCUACUGAGGGGCGCCCUGAAGCCCCGGAGCUUUUCCACGGAUUUAACCCUUCACGUCGCAGGUGGGGAAACAGAGAAUCGAUUUCCCUGGGUAACCCUGGGAAAUUCACGGCAGCACAGGUGCGAGCGCCAUGUCUCUUUGUUUCCAGUCCAGCUUUGAGCCGCGAGUUGCUCAAGAAGAAUAGGCUUCUCGGCCCCCACCUGUAAUUCUAAGAAAAUUUAAUCAGCUUCCUGGUGCUUUACAAAAAGAGCCAGCUCUUUCUACCUGUUUGCAGCCUGGCCUGAUGUUACCUUGGCAACAGCUGUCAACAGAAAUAUUGCCUCCCCCCCCGGGCCUGUCACAUCCUUUAUACCAGACAUGUGUGUGGCCAGGUGAAGGGGCAAAGCAGUUGGGCCUCGUAGACCCGGCCUCGGGGCUCCUUUCCGCUAAGAUCUGCUUACUUAUAACCCAAAGGAAAUUUGUCCUAAAAACAGGAUUUCCGUGCUCGCUUGGCUGGUUUUCUUUUUAUACUCUAUAAGGACUUAACGGGGAGAACCUUGCCGUUUGAAGAGGUUAUUUUUAACAGCAGUAUUAGCCUGACAUCCUAAACAUGGGAUGUUACAGGUCAGUAGGAAAACCCACCGGACCUCACCGUCCAGAGGAGAAAAGGAAAGCCUCUCCAGGAGAGCUGAUUGCCCAGAGUCUGUGUAAUUUAUUGGCGAUGCAGGGCUUGGACUUGGCUGGAGUCCUGGUUGCCUUUUAGGGGUUUGGCGUUACUGCAGGUCUGGCUUGCUGACAGCAACGCCGUGUAGGUGCUGCCAUCCCACGGGAGGGGCACAGGCUUGUUCGUGGCCUUUAUUAGAGAUGGGGCACAUUCUGGGGGCUAGAUCCUGAGUCAUCUUCUGGGAACCCCAUUCUCUUGCUCCCAACUCUCCCUUCCCUUGUCUCCCAACUGUCCGCCACGGGCUGGAGACCUGGAAUCUCUAGGGUUUGGGCAGGGGACGGACUGAGUGAGGUGGGCAGUGUGGGGCUGGUGAACUGGUCAUCUGUCCCCACUCGGCCUGCACGACACCUGCGGCUGGAGCUUUGUGUCUGUUCCGUCUCCCCUCAGUCAGGAUCCGAGGUCCAUUCUGCUCCCAAGGCCCCUCCUGGACUUCCACAGGCUCUGUAUGCGCCCCUGGCGUCUGGCUGCACCCCCAGGAGGGAGGGGGAAGGCUUGACCUCUCCCCUCUUAGGUCUCCGGCUGGGCCUGAGGAUUCAACUGACCUAAGACAGAUUAACAGGAGAAAAGCAUGCAGAGUUUUACCUGUACAUGGGGGCCCUACAGGAAAACGAAGGCCCAGAGACGUGGCAGAACCUAAGUGCUUAUAUACUAGGUUAGAUGAAGAAAGGAAACUGUGGAAAAGGAACGAAAACACCUGGAGAGGCUACGGGAGGAGAGUUAGUUCAACAAGGUCCGUCUGCACGGCAUCCUCCCUGGCUUGACUCCCUGUCUCUGAUGAUGGGUGUUUCUUCCUCCUGAAACAGGAACCCCAUUUUGAUCUGAUGGCAGCAGGGAUGCUUUCUGUGUUGGGGACAUGUGACGAACCACAAAGACCCCUUCGUGGGGGACACAUAUUAAAAUAGGCAGGAAAGUAGAUUUCCAACCGCCAUCAUGGUCUGCACCCCCGGGGAGAGCUGUGGACCCCGCUGUGGACCAAGGACGGGCGCUUGCUCCUGGUCACCCAGGCUACCAGCUGGGUUCCUCGUUUUACUAAAACGCUCACCUGUUCGCUGUACGGCCUCCCCGCCCCCCCACCAGAGUGAUCUCAUGUGCGUGGUUGUCUUUUCCAUGACUUGCAGGAUGCAACUCAGGCAGCAUCCCCCCUGCAGGCAGCCUUGCUCUGAGCUAAGAUGAGAUGUGCUACAGGGGAGGGAUGGGUGCAGAGAGUCGGGCUGAGGUUACUCCAGAGUCACACUCCAGAUCCCAUCGAACCCUCCAUCUGGACUGUCUGGAGGGGCUCACGCUCACCAGUUGCCAAGGGCUGUCCUGCUCAGAGCCCCUUCCCCAUGCUUGUCCUGGAAAACUUCUGCUCUUGCUUCCAGAACCAGUAGCUGAGGAGCCAUUUCCAUGAAGUUGAGUUGGGUUCCAGUACUAGACAGAGGUCCUGUUUUGGCUUUCCAUCAUGAGUCCCCCUUUCAUGUAGAGUGGUCCCCACUUCCUGCCUGCCUCCCGCUAUGGGAGCAGGGAGACAGAGUUCCCCCUCUUCUGCCCCCGACUGCAGGGCUUGUGUUGUGGUCCAGACCGUGACUGUGUCAUCAGUGGUGGAGGUAACCGUGCUGGGGCCCAGAGCCGGAGACGCAGGCUGUGACAGCAGCAGGUGUGCCUAGGUGGUGUGACAGCAGCAGGUGUGCCUAGGUGGUCUGACAGCAGCGGGUCUGCCUAGGUGGUGAGACAGCAGCGGGGUCUGCCUAGGUGGUCUGACAGCAGCGGGGUCUGCCUAGGUGGUGUGACAGCAGCAGGUGUGCCUAGGUGGUGUUACAGCAGCGGGUCUGCCUAGGUGGUGUGACAGCAGCGGGUCUGCCUAGGUGGUCUGACAGCAGCGGGUCUGCCUAGGUGGUCUGACAGCAGCGGGUCUGCCUAGGUGGUCACCACUGCCUUUGGCUGAUCUCACUGUGGCUCAUUUGAUUUCUGCCUCUGACUUGUAGCUUCCUAUCUAUUCUGUGAGCCUGCAACGUCCUUAAAAAAGUAACGACAACGAAACGAAAAGCAAAACCAAAACCAAAACAAAAGCCCUUGUUUGCUGCAGGCGGUCAGAAUUGAUCUGUUUUGCAGCCAAGAGCCCUGAUGGAUGGAGAAUCCUGCCCGGAACUCUGGGAUCCCGUGUGCUUCUCUGAGGUGGUUCAUACGUGCAAUGCUUCAACAGCAAUGAUGGCUGAUUCCUCAAGCCCUUUCUGGGAACUGGGACCUUGACAAGAGUUCUCGCAUCAGUUCUCGGGGGCCUAUAUCUACAGUGAUGUCCGCGGGCUCUGAUGGAGCAAGUGGAAACGGACCGGAAUUACUGGAGGAUUUCCCAGCACGACAGUGUGUAGUGACGCGCUGCCUGGGUGCCUAGAUCCCCCCGUCUGAGUCCCAGGGCGAGAGUGCUCAGUCCCCAGCGGCCAGGAGGUCAGGUCCUGUCCCCAGGGCAGCCUGCAUCUGUGGUGCCGAAGCAAUGGCCAGGCAUCCUUUGGCAUUUCUUCCAUCGAGGAGUGAAGUCUGCAUCCCCUUCCUUGAAUCUGGGCAUGUGCUGGGGCUGGUUGGGCAUGGAUCGCAGCAGGAGGAAGGCUGCCCAGGUGUCUGUGCCGAGCCUGGAGAAACCAAUGGCUUCCGUAUGGCCCUCGUGGUGCCCUCUCUCCGGGAGCCCUGACCGCCCCAUGAGAAGACCAGUCGUCUUGGGUCGGCGUGGCUGUGGUCAAAAUAAACAGUAGAUAUGGCUCAGGGCUGCAUCUUCUGUUUUUGUUUAUGUCGCACUAAGUGUGUUUGUUGGCCCCUCCAGGGGAGCAGGGGGAGAUAGGAUGGGGUGUGUCAGGUGUUGCAAAGGGCCUCGGCAGCCAGGCUCAGGCCUGGGGACUCAUCCUAUUGACAGGAAUGAACCUGAGCCCUUUCUGAGCGGCGGGUUGGGAGCGAUCCCCGUGGCUCUGAGUGGGCAGGUCACGGGGCCGGGGCAGCAAGGGCCAGGAAGCCAGGUGGGGCCACUGGAGAUCUGGGGACACGUCUGCGGAAGAGACCGGGAAGGAGGCACCUUCCCCGAGCUGUGACGGGCUCAGCCAUUCUCUUAGCCUGAAAUCCUUCAUCCUAGUGAGUCCUGAAGUCCCCGACUCAGUGAUUCUGAGAAUUCAUGAUUCCUCGAUCCCACGACGUGAAAUGCCCGUGUUUCUCCAGUUGUGUGAUCUGGUGAUUCACAGAACCUCUCACCCGGCAGCUCUAAAAUUCUCUGAUUCAUAUGCUCUGCUGAGUCAGCCCUUGCAGUUCCUGCCAACCCCUGGCCCAUGGCUUCUCCUGGGAAUUGAGGAAAGGCUGUUUGUUUCUGUCUUUUCUGUUCAGACAGGUGUCUCUGGGGGGCCUCUACCUUCCUCUGAGGUGGCUGAGAUGGGGAUUGUGCAGGUGGGGAAGAUCCCGGAGGCAGCUGGAAUAAUGCGGAGUGUGUGACCCCCGUGUGCCCCGGGUGCCCGAGUGCUGAGGCGGGAGCAGAGCCCCACCUUCGGGGGGAACUGAGAGGUGCUCGUGACCCAGGGCCCAUCACCCACUCUGCUCACGCCCACCUGCUGGAGCAGCACCCCCAGGGCUGUGGUCUCCCUGAAGAGCCCUCCAGAGACAAGCUUCUGGGUUGGGGUCGCACCUUGUCUUAAGCCACGAGCUGGAGUCACCCAGUGGCAUCCGUAACCACUGGAGUUGACAGGAGGCCUGAGGGCAUGGGAGACAAGCAGAGUGGCCUGUGGAUUUGGGUGACAGGGAUUAUGGGGGACAGGUGAGGGGUGCUAGUGGCAGGGCCACAGAAACAAGAAGCCUGGAUCGGGGACUUGGAUAGGCCUGCUGGCCCAGGGCCCACAGUGCCAUGAGCUGGUCUUUAUUCUUCUCCCCCUCAGCCAGCCUCUCGGCAUCAAAUCCAGGAGAUGAGGCCCCGCGUGCCAGGUUGCUGUGAGGCCCAGUCAGGGAAACAGGGAAAGCUGUUGGCACCGCGUCUGGGACUCUUGCUAUCAGUUUCUAGUGGCUCUUUUCAGGGCCGUGCGUGGCCGUCUCUGCCGGCCAGGCCUCCCUGGCCCUCGUGUGCACGAGUCUCCCUGCAAGUGGGGGCUGCUCUGAGAUGGUAUCAAGAGAAGGAGGCGGUGUGGGAGGGAAGCCAGGCCUACCUCUAAUCCACAUGGCCCUCCUGGUCCCUCCUUGGCCAGCCUUGGGGUUUUGGGAGCUGCUCUGAGUUGGAGAUGAAAUGGGCCACAACCAUGGUCACUGUUGGUUAUGAAAAGUGGGGGAGACAUGAUCCAGCAUGCGUGUACACAUGCAUCCAUCCGUCCAUCUAUCCAUCCAUUCAUCCAUUCAUCUAUCCAUCCAUUCAUCCAUCCUUCCAUUCAACUAUCCAUUCAUCCAUCUAUCCUUCCAUGCGUCCAUCCGUCCAUCUAUCCAUCCAUCUAUCCAUCCAUCCAUCCAUCCAUCCAUCCACAAUUUAUUAAGUGCCUACCGUGUCUGAAAGAGUGCACCCCACCCCCUUGGAUGACUUUCUAUGCCCCUAUCCUGCUCUGUUAUUAUUUAUGCCUUUGUUCAUCUGUUCACUCUCUUUCUCCCCCACUAGAAUUUUAAUUCCACGAAGACUUUGUCUUAUUCACCACUGCAUCCACAAAUCUAAAAUCAAGCCUGGCACUUAAUAGGUGCUUGAAAGCAUUUCUUCAAUGUAUGAAUUUAACCCCCCUCCUGAAACAACCCUGGGAAUAGGUGUUAUUAUCCUUCAUUUAUAGAUAAGGAAGCAGGCCCAGAGAGGCCAAUUGACUUGCCCACGGUUUCACUAUUAGUAAGUCGUGACCUGGGAGCCAGGUUUCCAGAGCUGGGUCUAACCCUUCAUACUGCUCCAUGCUUCGUGAGGAGGGAGAGAGGGGCACAAUUAGUUCUCACUGGGCAAUCGAGGGAGGCUUCCUGCAGCAGGGGGCCAUGGGCAAUGGAGGGUGGGUGGGAUGUCCCCAGGCAGGGGAGUAGGUGAGGACAGCCAGCUGAGGAGACUUCUUUGGCCAAGGCCUGGGGGAUAGGAGUGUGGAACCGGCCUCUGGGGUGAGGAGGGAGGCCUUACAAGACCCAGCCAAAAGCCUGCCAGACUUCUCGGAGCUAGAAGCAAUCCUCCAUCCCUGCUGGUGGCACUGUCAUUAGGACAUCGGUGCUGAGUCUGGCCUGUCCUUGUCAAUCAACUGACAGCAAGACAUGUCCCCAAACACCUCGCUGAAAGGGCCUUUCUCCCAGGUUGUGGGCUCAGGGGCACCUCUGCCAUGCAAAGUGGGCUCCCCCUGGGCCCAGGAAAAGGGUCAGCUUAGCCAGGCCUGGGCAGACAGCCGGCCGGCCUGGGAGCCCUGGUUACACUCUCCCUACCUGCUGGACAACACCUUCCCCGCCCUGGACCUCAGCAUCCCCAUCUGUAAUCGAAAUGGUUACUGCAGCCCUUUGUCACCUGUGAUGCUGGUGACCUCACCCAAAGCUGACUCUCCUGUGCAUCUCGCUGCAGGUGAGGUAUCUUUUCACAUUGGACCCCUCCUUUGAUCAUCAAUAACCCCGUGAAAGAGGCAGGGCGGGAUCAAUAUCUCCAUUUUCUCAGAUGAAGGAACUGAGGUUUGAGAGAGAGAAAGUCGUCGGUCCAAAGUCGCUGAGUCAGUGAGUAGCGUGUCCUGGUCUGGAAUCCCAGCUCAUCCCUCUGCGGCCACGAGGCCGGAGACUGCAGUCAGAAUGGUGUCAUGUUCUGAUUCCGCUGGGGUCCCUGGCCAGGGUGUCCCUUUUUGAGUUCUCCUGUCAUGCCACCCUCUGCCCACCCCCAGGGAAGAGGCAAAGGGCCCCCCUAAAUACACCAGAAAUGACUCCCCUCCUCUGAUCUAAACCCCACAUCCACGCUUGGGCCACCACACUGGAGGCUUCUAAACUGCCCCGUCAUUGGGGCCGUCCUGCGGUUCCCACACUGCCCAUCCCAGGGAGGAAAGCUCGGGUGAACUUACAACCUGACCUCAUUUCCGGGAGAGAUUUCUUUAACCCAGAGAAGCUAGCCUAGCUGGCGCUGGGCAUGGGGGCGUUCUCAGGUGGGGACAGCCGCUUCUUGGGGCCAGGCUGACUGCACCAGCAGCGGAUUCUCAGGGUAGAUGCAGGGGGACCACAACUCUGGCCCCUGGUGGACAAACAGCAAGCCCUCGUGGAGGCCAAAGCCUUUGUUCUAGAACUCUGGGCUCAUUACUUCCCUUUGCUAGGCCUCCCUGCCCACAAAGCGCGGUAAUCCCCCUUCCCCAGGCUGUCCAGAUCCAACAGGACAGACGAGGCAGGGAGAGGGGGGAAGGGUGCGGGGUUCUAGGUGGCGACGCAGACCUAGAUUUCCGCCCUGGUUUUGCCACUUACUAGCCUAGUGGCCUCGUGCAGGUUACUUAAUAAUAAAUACCAUUCACCUGCUAGGAUUGUUUGGGGUCAGGGGGGUUAAUUUGAUAGAAAGCACUUUGAAGACUGCUGAGCUCCCCAGGGGGCUGCUGUGUUAGGGGUUAUUGUGACAAGGUCCCAGCAGUGGAACAAGCAGAGGAAUUAAGGCUCUGAACAGCGUGAUGGUUCAGGGCCGGACAAAGGCUCAGGGCAUGAAGCCCUUCGGAGAUGCAGAUGCUAAGGACGGGCUCUGGGUUGUAGGGUGGCAGAAGGAGCCAGGGCCAGAUGGGGGUGGGUUCUGGUUUGGGAGGAGACCUUGAGCUGUGGGUACGCUUUUGGGUGAGCUCCAGGGAGGGGACCAGACGUGAUCGGUCGUUGGAUGAGUAGGGAAAAUGCACAGUGCCAGUAGCUGAGAGCCUCUGCAAGGCUGCCUGGGCCUGUGCGGAGGGCUGUAUUCUGAGACAUCACCUUGGCUGGCUUCCCUGCAAGACGCUGGUCCUGGGGGAGCUGUGCUUUGUGAGGUAACAGAGGAACAAGGUGGGGGCUGUCGUGGGGCGGGGAGAGCCCCCGAAUGCUCGAGUUUUAGGGCACAGGUGGAGACUUGAGAAGCCCCGAGAUCCCCCAAGAGGAGAGUAGGCCUCCCCUCACCCUGUGCUCCCUCCGUCUGUGCCUCUCAGCCACCUGGUUCCUGCCUUUUCUCUAAGGCCUGUCCCAGAGGGUCAAACAUUUCUGUAGGUUGUGGGCCCACUGUGUGUCAGGUCUGGACACGGACACGGGACCACCGAGGACGCAGACUCGCUGAAUUCUCUCAACAGCUCCGAGAGGAGGUGUCAUGACCCCCGUGUGCCCACGAGGAAGGAGAGGACUUGGGGGAUGGGGCUCUGGCCGUCGCCCAGGGCCCCGGGGCUCUGGCCCAGCUCUCCCAGCAGGUCCUGUCCCCUCAUGCAGCAGAUCCGAGGACAGGUGGGGGUGCUCGGGGUUUCUGGCCUGUCCGGGGGGCGGCUCCCACAGAACCCUUCAAAGGCCCUUGCUCUGGCUCCUGCUACGUGUGCUACUUUAAAAAAAAAUCUAGAAUGAAAAAGAAGAAAGUUUCUAUUUUUGAUGAGACACCAACGAAAUGAAGGCUUUUAAAUUAUUAAAAUCCAGAAAUAAAUUAUUUAUUCAGGUCAGCCUUUCAUUUCACGCACAUUAACCCCACCAGCACACUGUCACGAAUUUGCUGAGUGUCCUGGCAAGUCAUUUACCCUCCAAGGACCUCGGUGUUCUCUUCUGUAGGAUGGGUCAGGGGCCGGCAGGGGGCUGGGUUUCCCAGGUGCUGGAGGAGCCUGCCGGGGGGAGCCCAAGACCGGCCAGAGCAGGCCUGUCUGUUCCCUUCAUCUCUCUUCGUCCUGUAUCCUUGGCCUUCACGAUCAGACCUUCCCUGAGCAGCUCAGGUGGGUGGGAAGGGGAAGAGCUACUAUUAAUAAUAAUAGUACGGGCCAGCCCUGCACAGUGGUUUAUACAUCCAACUUAUUUAUCCUACAACAACCCUCUAAGGUGGAUAAUGUUACCAUCUCCAGGUUACAGAUGAGGAAAUUGGGCACCGAGUAGUGAAGUGCCUUGCCGGAUAUCACCCAGCUUGGAAGUGGCACAGCUGGAGUUCAAGGGCAGGCAGCCUGGUUCCCGCACUGACUACUGCAGCACACGGCCUCGCCUUGGGUGUGAGUGAGGCCCUCAGGAACCUCCCGAGAUGACUCUUCUUGCAGGUGCCGUGCCUGUUCUCUCUGCCUUUGCACUUGCUGUUCCCUCUGCCUGGGGUGCCCUCCCUGCCCCAGGACAGCAAAAAUGUCACCUCCUCCAGGAAGCCCUCCCAUCCUCCCUCUGUGCUUCCACAGCAUUCUCCCACUUCCCUGUGAAAGCCCUUACCCGCCGAAUCGUCCUCAUUUACACACCUGUCUCCCCACCAGACUGUGGCCUUCUUGAGUUCAGGUACCGUGUUGGAUGAAUUUCCACAACCCCAGCACGGUGCCUGAUGUAGACCGGCUGGUGUUUGUUGAAUGAAUGAGCGAGUGAGUGUUUGAAGGGAUGUGACUCCCUUGCCCGUGGGGGAGGGUUGCGGGUUGCCUUAUGGCCUGGCCCUGGGAAGACCCCUAAGUUUGCCAUCCCUGGCAUCCCUGAGAUUGUUCUCCCACCAAGAGACUCAGCUUGGCGGAGAAGACAUUGGGUUUCCAUGUCUGCCCGAGCAAACAUUUCCACAGAAAUCCCAAUAGAUGCCAGUGGGUGCAGUGGGCACUGCCCCUCCUCCCACAACCUGCACCCCUCCCGCCUCCGCAGGGCUCUGAGCCCAGAGCCAGCCCUUCUUCUGUGGGUUUCCACUGGGUUUCUCACAACUGCCCUAUCUGAAGCUGCUUGCCGCCGUGCCAUCUUCACCCCACACCCUCUCUGGGUGAUGAAGGGGCGCCCUGGCCCCAGGCUGUCGGCAUUAGGGAGUCCAGCCCCACCAUCCUCAGACGGGAAACCUCGGCCCAGGUUGGGGAAGCAGAGGGCUCCCACCCCCUGCCCUGGCUUUGCGCUGCCGUCUGCAAGCCCCUCCUCCCCUCAGACAUGGGCGCCUGCACCUCCCCCUCCCCCAGGGCCCUGGGGUCAGGGGGCCUCACAGGGCUCACCUGGCAGAAGCUGAGAGGCCCGAGAAUUACAAGGUGUCCGGCCUCAGACCCUGCCGAGCACCGGACCCACUGCCCUGCGAUCCCGGUUGAGCCUCUGGGGGUGGGGAGGAAGGAAAGGCACUUGGUGGUAGAAGCUCAGAGAGGUCCGUGGCUUUCCUGAAGACACGUGGCAGAGUGGCAGAGGCAGGAUCCGAGCUCUGGUCCCUCCGGUGACAAGGCCAGCCUCUACCCACUCUCCGGCCAGGCGGGAGCCCACUUUCCCCACCUAGAUAUGGGGUGGAUGGCCCCUUCUGGAAGCACGGGCAGAGCGCCUGGUGUGCAUGUGGGGCACCGGCUGGUCAGCGGAGGGUCCAGCCCGAGGACUGAGAGCUCACUUGGCCCUUGAGACCAUCAGACCAUCAGAGAGGUGAAGUGACUUCGCCCAAGCUCACAAGUGGUGGCCCAGGGGACGGAUAUGGGACCUGUCAGACUCUGACCACUUCCGUCUGUCCACGUCCCCCCCUGCACGGCUGUUUUCCCAAAGCCAGUUAUUACCUCUCACUGCCAGGUCCCUGCUCUGCUCUCCCUGUGGGCUUUGCCUCAUCUGUGGACUCGGCACAACUGCCGGUGAGGGAAGAGGGCCAGGGGUGCGUGGCCCUGAGGCAGGGACAGAGGCCUCAUGGUCUGGCUUUGUGCAGCCAGCCAGAGACCAGCUAACAAGCUCAUCGUUUCGUGCCCAGGCCUGCCACGCGGGCAGCUGGUCCUGCCAUCCCGGAUCACCUCAGACUCCCACUGGACCCCAGGAGUCUGCCUCCCAGCCCAGACCCUCAGACGCCCGCCCUCCCUCCCUCCUGUAGUCGAUGGAUCUGUGCUUGGGCCUAUGGUGUUCCACCACCCACACGGACCGGCCCAGCCUGACAUGUCCAGCUCUCAUCACCAUGGCAACACUCACCACCCCCGUGCGGGACCACUGUGCUCAGCUAACCCGUGGCCUGUCUCCUGCCACUGGCCACCCAUUUGGGUCGGGAGACACCCACACACCCACUCAGGCCAAGACUCGGAGCUCACUCGUGUUCCUGCCUCCCCCCCACAGGCCAGAGUGACGGUGUGCAUGGGUGUGCACAGGCAUACGUGUGCACACGUAUAGGCGCAGGUGUGGAAAACACUGACAGCUCAUCCGACUCUGGUCUGUGGGACUCGGGGGCUGCCGGCAACGCCUAACUGUGUGUCGUGGGUCCUCUGGGGGGGUAGUCUCUGUCUGUGUGCCUGCACCUCAUCAGCUUCGCGUGUCUGUCUGUCUGUCUGUUUGUGUCUCGGCAGAGGCCAGGGAGGGGAAGGGAAUGUGUCAGAGAUUCUGGACAACAACUCCUUUCACUACAUUUCUCCAACCGCUGGAGAAGGACACCCUCUCCUCUGGCCUGUUCUCCUAGGACGUUCAGGACCCAGCAGUGGCUGAUGGGGGCGACCCACUUACCAUCUUUGCUGGGCUCUCCCCUGGGGCCAACAGUUACACUGGACUUUGGCCCUUGGAAUCCACAUAAUCUUCUCUUGGGGCACCACCUGAUUCCAUUUUCCUGUGCAAAACACAGAAGCUGUGGAGAGGGGCCCGGGCAGGACAUUGGGAGAAGGGAAAUGUAGUCUUGGUUCUGUUGACAGCUGGCCCUGUGACCUUGCGCAGGACACCGUGCCUCUGGGCCUCCGUUUCCCUGCCUGUUAAUGAUUUCUUGUGGACUUUCUAUCCGUACCAUCCAGAAUUCCAUCAAAUGGCAACUGUCCCAAUACAUCUUCCUCUCGUCUUCACGACAGCCCUGUGGGUCGCCUGUUAUUAUCCCUGGACGAUAAGGAGGAAACUAAGUGCAGAGGAUGCUGGUGGGAUGGGGGCCCAGCCGCAUCACCCUGACCAGAGCCUUUGCUCUUUCUCUCACCCACUGCCCCCCGUGCUCUGCCCGCAGGUUCCAGGGCCAGGAUGGGCCCUCUGUGCCACCUGCCACAGCACAGCCAGCCCCUCACGGGCAGGGGGCUGCCACUGACAAAGGGCACCCACCAGCCCUGCUGGGAGACCCCUCCUCACCCUCACCGUGGACAGGGCCAGAUAUCAAAGGGGGGAAUGUGGGAAGGCAAAGGAAAAAGACAAAGCCGUCAGGCUGCCCGGCGCUGGUGAGUAAUGACACAUGGAGUUCCGAGAUCAACAGGCAGGGCUCGGCUCCAGGGCCGUGUGGGGAUGAGCCUCAGAGCUGGAGCCGGCAGGCGGGAAGGGCUGGCGGGCGCUGGGUCAGGUGGUGGAAGAAGGCCCCGGGCUCCGUGCAGGGCAGUAGGGCAAAGCGGUCACCGGACCCUUGUUUAAAUGCGCGUCCUGGUCCAGCCCGUCUGGGGUGGGGUCUGAGUUUCUGCAUUUCUCACGAGGUCCCAGGUAACGCUGCUGCUGCUACCCAUGGUCUGGGACCGCCUUUUGAGCGCCUGAGUGUGGGCUGAGAGAGCCGGGUUUGAACUUGGAUCUGGCCCUAAUUCGUUGUAUGAGUGGGCAUGUGAGUUCCCAACUCAGCAGGCCUCCGUUUCCUCACCUAUAAAGUGGGGAUCAUAAUAGUAUCUGCUUCAGGGAAGCGGUGGUGAGGGUUCAGAAGUUAAUCUGUGUUAAUCUGUGUCAAAGCCCAUAGAUGGUGCUUGGUGAGUGUGUUAUUAUUCUACAGUGCCGGGCUGGAGAAUAUGUGCUUUUCUGCUGUGGAGAGUGGGUCGCUGUUAAGUGUUAAGUGGGGAGUGAUGUGACCGAAGUCUCACUGGAAAGACUUCCUCUGGGCGCUGCUGGGAGUUGAGCUGGAGGUGGCGGCCGGGCCUGGGGGAGCCGCGUGGGGCUGUCUCAGGAGGGGUGUGGGUGAGAGAGGAAAUGGAGUCUGGAAGUGGUGGAUGGGAGGGACGGAAGGAGAGAAGGGGCAGGAAGGAUGGACAUUUCCGAGGCAGAUCUAACCGGAGGUGGCCUGGGAGGGCCUGGUAGUUGGCAUUGCGGUCCUUGGGUUCUGCUGUGUCCGCUCACCGCUUCCACUCCUCAGCCCGGCCCAGCUGACUGUAUUUGACUAUAUAAUUUGGGAGCACAGCAGGCAGAAUUCUGAGAGAGGCCUGCCUGCUGGUUUCAGCCAGUCUGGACACUGUAACCUUGACUCCAGCUAUCGAGAAGAACCCCCCUGUGCAGGGAGCUAUCUGUAACAACACAUUCGGGGGAUUCGCAGGGAAUGACUGAACCAAACUCCAGAAGGAAACAUAAGAGUUUGUGCAUGUGGGUAUGAAUAUGUACACACAUCAAGAGUAUAACAGGGCUUCCCUGGUGGCACAGUGGUUGAGAGUCCGCCUGCCGAUGCAGGGCACAUGGGUUCGUGCCCCGAUCCGGGAGGAUCCCGCAUGCCGCGGAGCGGCUGGGCCCGUGAGCCGUGGCCACUGAGCCUGCGCGUCUGGAGCCUGUGCUCCGCAGCGGGAGAGGCCACAACACUGAGAGGACCACAUACCGCAAAAAAAAAAAAAAAAAAAAAGAGUAUAACAGAGUGGGCCUUCCCUGGUGGCUCAGUGGUUGAGAAUCCACCUGCCAAUGCAGGGGACAUGGGUUCGAGCCCUGGUCCGGGAAGAUCCCACAUGCCAUGGAGCAACUGAGCCCGUGCGCCACAACUACUGAGCCUGCGCUCUAGAGCCCGUGAGCCACAAUUACUGAGCUCGCGUGCCAUAACUACUGAAGCCUGUGCACCUAGAGCCCGUGCUCCACAACAAGAGAAGCCACCGCAGUAAGAAGCCCAAGCACCGCAAGCAAGUGUAGCACCCGCUCGCUGCAACUAGAGAAAGCCUGCGCGCAGCAACGAAGACCCAACGCAGCCUAAAUUAAUUAAUUAAUUAUUUAAAAAAAGAGUACAACAGAGUGAAUUUUGUUAGCAAUUCCUGAUUUUUCCCUUCAAAAGAAUUGAAGGCAACUGUAGCCAGUGUGGUGAAACAGGUGUUUUCUCUUCUACAUGCAGCCCUGUUCUGAUGUCCCACAUUUUGUUGGUCCUGUCCUGGGGGUGUUUUAUUCUCUGUAAGUCUUGGGCCCCAGCUAGCCCACAGGGGCCUUUUGUGUGAAUUAGGGAAGGGUGUCCCCUCUGGACAGAUACAGCCUCAUGGGCACAUAGUGUAGUGAGUGGAAGGCAGACUGGAUUCUAGUCCCCACUUGUCCCUCAGGUGGGCGCCCUUGUGCAGUGGACAACCUGCACAGCUGUAUGUGCCGUCUCUGCACACGGACCACACAAGCUGUUCAGGAAACGGACGCUGUAGAAAAUUCUUUAACUGUAGAAAAUGCUUUAUCUGGGCAUCAAGCUCAGCCCUUUAUCCCAGGUUCUUUCUUUGGGUGAUUUCUUCUGGGCCUAGGUCUCCCCUUGUUAUUCUCUGCACCCUGCAUCUGCUGGCUUUAGGCUUUAACUCAGGGAAAGGCUACCUAUUGCUGCAGCUUCCUGGGCUGCUCUUUGGGGUGAGGGCCCCGAGUCCUCAUUUUCUUUGUUGAUGGUAUUAUCUCCCCAAGACGGGUGUUUAAAAUUGCUUCGGGCUGGACCAAUGAUUCUAAUAGGGGGUCUACACCGAAAUGGCAUUAUUCUGUUGUGCAAGGCUGUGACUGCCUAUUGUAACACCAGUCAACAUCACCACCAUUCAGAAGGGUUACUCUGCACCUCAUGCCAACACCAUGCCAGCCACAAAGGGAAACCUUUAUUCUUUUCUCCAAACUUUCUAUAAUGCCAUAUAGCUUUUCCAACAUGAAUUCUUUUGACUAAACCAAACAAAACAUAAAGAAAUACCCUUUUGGGGUAGGGUUGUUUAACCAGAAGAGAUCUACCUAACUGCACCAGAGUUGUCUAGAGCCAGACUGCCUGGGACCAAAUCCUACUCUGCCACUUAUUAGCGGUCAUCUUGGAGAAGUCAUUUAACCUCUCGGUGCCUCCGUUUCCUCAUCCAUAAAAUGGGGAUAAUAAUAGUACCUACUUCAAAGGCUUGUUGUGGGGACAAAGUGAAUAUACGUAAAGCUCUUGAAACCACUCCAGGAACAGGGUCAAUGCUGUGGGCGUGUUAGCUCUUGCUCUGGUGACCAGACCAAGAGGAGAAAUUGGUCAAAUGCCUUGCUGACAUCCUGAUUCCGCCUCUCUCCAGCCUUCUCUGGUUUCCACACUCAGAAUCAAUUCCAGUGUCUUCUGGGUUUGUUUUACAUUUUUUCUAGUGUCUCUAUCAAAGCUCCCAGGACAGUGUCCGUCACUCUGUGGCUCUAAUGGUAGCCCGUGCCAAUCUGCCCAAAUAGAAGCGCUUCCGGCAGGCAGGGACCCCCUCCUUCAUCUUUGCAUCCUUCAUGGCAACAAAAAGCCUGGUACGAAGCCAAUGCUUGAUCAAGGACUGUCGGCGAGUCGGUGGCUGCAUGACCAAGGGCAUCCUUUCUCGUCUUCACCCCCCACUUCCCUCCUGGCACCAGUAGGUCCUCAACAAUUUUGUUUGAAUCGAACUGAAUAUAUUCUGCAAGCUUGAGACCACACAUCCUCACUGAAUGGGUGUCUUGGAAGCCCCGGAAGGUUAUGGGAUUUUUUUCCCAAAGGGUGCAGUAAAAUCCUGAAGGCGAAGGGGUCCUUCUGCCUUUCCAGAUGGACUGAAUGCGAGGUAGAGAUGUGUCCAGGAGUCUUCCACCCACUGCAAGGUGUUCCCAAGUAGUUGGCAGAGACGUUUCACAUUUAGAUUACCCUGCCGAGAUACCCACUGCCCACCUUUCUGGAAGCAUCUAGAGUUUCUCUCCGGUGCACUGUUCUUCUAAGUGAUAAUUCUAGAAACCCAUUCCUUUGUCUUUGGCAACAACAACCCAAUUCCCAGGACUCCAGCUGGAAGAUAACAGCCUUAAUUCCCAGACCCCUGGGGGGAGGAAACGCCAGACAGAGUCCUCCCAGCUGUUACGGUUCUGUCUGCACCAGGCCACAUGCAUCGAGCCCAAAUGACUACUUGAAGCGUUAUUAGAAUUCAGGUUGCCCCGUCAUCACGAUUCUCUCUGAGCUGGGAGGCUGGGAAAAAAGAAGGCAGAUUGUGUGCCGUGUGCAAAAGCCGGACCAGGAGCCUCUGAGAUUAAUUACACCUGGUGAAUGCAAUGUCUGGGAGCCCCGGGGAAGUGCUAUCUGGGGGAAGCAUAAACCAGGCUCCCCAAAAGGAAGUAGAGAUGAGCUCCAUUCCACUGUGCAGACAAAAUUAAUGCUGCUUAUCAAAGCCCUUCCUCAUCAAUAUAAAGUUGGAUUUCUAUUAGUCACCAAGGGCCAUUUGCCUAGAUGCAAAUGGCCUGACCUAGCUGGACGAUUUCAGCGCAACGUCUGAUGGAGGUUGUGGGGAGCCGACAGCCCGUGCCAGUAGAUUUAACAAGCACUGGGGCUUUUUCCUUUGGCUCUGAGGCUAAGCUCAUUAUCCAAGGAACAAAUGGAAUAUGAAGGCUGCAUCGGCGCUGCCAGAGACCAUAAGAAAUUUGCUAUGAAACAAAGUUGGUGCAUUGUUCAGCUGUGCAGAGAAGAAACUUGGAAGCAGAGAAGGAGCUGCUCACAGCCAGGAACACCCGUUGCCCUAACCUGCUGGCUAAGUCACCCAACCCCAGGUUCCGCCGCUUGCAGCUACACCCCACCUCUGCAGCCGGUGGGCCUGACCUCAAAGAAUUCUGAUCAGGUCGCAGUGACACAAUGUCCGUGAGAGAGAACAAAUUAACCCGGCUUAGGAAGAGUUCUUUCAAUUAUGUCCCAGGGAGAGAAAAAGUAGGAAGAGGAGCCAGUGCUUGAAGCACGGAGGAGCUGGCCGACCUCAGAGGCAGUCUCGUGUCUUCGGGGGGACGGCUGGAAGAGCUAUCGAACCCACUGCCAAACCCGGGGACGCUGAUGCAGCCCCUCCAGCUGGCCCGGUGUGGACCCACUUCCUGAACACUCCUCCCCAGGCCUCCCAGUCUCCCUUUUCGUGCAUUCAUUCAGGACCAGAUACUGACUUAACGCUAUUGUACCAAGAAAAUGAAUAGGGCGGGCUGGCCAGGGAACAUGGGCGGGGGUGAAAUCUUCAGUAGAGCUGUGAGGGAAGGCUGAGUUAGGAAGCGACAGCUGAGUGAAGGCCCGAGGGAGUGGGGACAGAGACAGGAACGACUGUCUUUGAUGAGGCCAAGUCCCUGGGAAUGGCCUCGUGGAAGGGCUGCCCCUUCCUCCCUGACUGCUGAGGACUUAACAUGUAUUAUCUCAUUAAACCUGAGACCCUGUUGAAACCUCCAUACCAAGGGGGAAGAGGGGGAAGGGAUAAAUUGGGAGAUUGGGACUGACAAAUACACACUACUCUUUAGAAAAGAGAUAACUAAUAAGGACCUACUGUGUAGCACAGGGGACUCUGCUCAAUACUCUGUAAUGACCUAUAUGGGAAAAGAAUCUAAAAAAGAGUGGAUAUCUGUGUACGUAUAACUGAAGCACUUUGCUGUGCAGCAGAAAUGAAUACAACAUUGUAAAUCGACUAUACUCCAAAAAAAUUAAUUUUAAAAAGUAA